rnacentral:tRNA from 1 species
GUUAUUGUAGCUUAAUACAAAGCAUGGCACUGAAGACGCCAAGAUGGAUAUUAAUAAAUCCAAAUAACA